rnacentral:lncRNA from 1 species
AAAACAUAUGCCAAGAGACACUACAUUAUCCCAAUGGCUGCUGCCCAGAUCCUUCUCAUAGGUUGCUCUUAAUUUUUUUUUUUUCCUGAAACAACUUCUCCCUCUUUUUUUUUCCCCCUUAGUGUUUGGGCCACAAUUUUAAAAUGACUUUUAACUAUGGAUAUGUGUUGCCAAAGCUGGCUUUUAAAAAAAAAUUAAUGAGAGCUUAAAAGAUGAAAGCCAGAAUCUUAAAAUGUGAGAGAGUAAGACUGUGAAGCCUAAAAUGUUUGGCUGAGAAUGAACCUGAAACACCAGUUGCCAAACUGUUGGUCACUGUAGAUUUGAUUCUUACAGUCCAUCCUUUUAUUUGCCCUUAAAUCAUGUUGUUUAGUGUCCACAUUCCAUGUUGAGUGUCUGAAUCAGCAAUGUGGAAAAGCUGUCUUGUGUGAUACCCCAUGAAAUCUGCUUUUAUCUUUUCAUUUGAAGCCAGUUUACUCUCUCUCUGUUCUUUAAGGUCAAGUAGGUCUGCCAAAAACACUGGUCAAUAGUAUUACUCUGACACCUUUAAUUUGCAGACUCUGAAGUUACUGCUAGUUUACCAUCUUUAGGAUCUUAAACUGGUGACUGAUUGAGUUGAACUUAAGGAAGAUUUGUGGACCGAAACUCAUAAGUAACCUCUCUGUUCUAUAGAAUGUGUAUCUAUGUAACUGAACGUAGUAGGAGAGAGAUCUAGAAUUCUAUAUGUGCAAUUUUUCAACCAAUGCAAAAAAAACAGCACAUGUAUUGAUGAUCUUCUGUCAAGCAGCUUGAAUUGAAAUAUAAUUUAAGAAAACAAAUCAUGAUGGUUUAAACCUGCUGGGAAGGUAGAAUUAGGCCAUGAUCCUGGUCUAAUUUUACUACAGUACUAUUUGGCAGGAGUCUAUAAACUUUUAUGUAAAUCACUGUUUUGGAACAACAAAGGAGAGAGAAAAUUAAUGGCUUAUGAGAUGAGUACCAGAGUUAUUCAAUAAUAAUGGAAUGUUCCCAUUCUUUGCUCUGCCAGCCUCAAAGUACACAGGUUACCUGCUUUUUCUCUCCUUAUUCAGAAAGCACCUGUAAUUUAAGUAAGAAACAGACUGCCUAUAGGUAUAGUGCAAUUAUGAAUGCUCUAAUCAUUGUACAUACAUCUCUCUCUUGAUAUUGCAUCAUCCUUACUGGCUUUGUAAUCAUUAAUUUUUUGGCAGAUUGAAUGUGCUGUAUUGAUAUGUAUCUAUGUAAUUGUAUGUCUCAUAGCUAAUUCACAUUUUGAAUAAUGUUAUUUUAUUUACUUUUUUAAGAGAGGAGAAUGUAAAUUUGUCAGUUUAUUUCUGACUAGGGAUUUUUUUUUUCCAUUUAGAAAAGAAAAAGAAAAAAAAAAACCUUACUAUCGUACAGAGCGGUACUAGCAUCGUGCUAUAUAAAAUCAUUUGCACAUUCCUAAGCAGAGGUAUACUGAUUAUAAGACCCAAAGGUAAUUUCAUAGCAAAAUACAUAAAAGCAGUUGGAGCUUUUAUACAAACAUGGAAACCAACUUUGUAGAACUUUUGCCAUUUGACCUAGGAUUGGAAUAUGAGCUUUUAUACAAUUCAUAUUCUUAUUUGGCAAACUCACAGUUUAGUAUUACCUCUCUGAUGGCCUUUAUUAGAAAGGCAGUUUUAGAAGCUAUUGUGAUCCACUAAGGAAAUGUUUUAAUAGCUAGCGACCACUGCUUGCCUGAAAGGGCGAUCUUAAAUUUGGUGCAGC